UACGUAGGGUGCGAGCGUUGUCCGGAAUUAUUGGGCGUAAAGAGCUUGUAGGCGGUCUGUCGCGUCUGCUGUGAAAAUCCGGGGCUCAACCCCGGACUUGCAGUGGGUACGGGCAGACUAGAGUGUGGUAGGGGAGACUGGAAUUCCUGGUGUAGCGGUGAAAUGCGCAGAUAUCAGGAGGAACACCGGUGGCGAAGGCGGGUCUCUGGGCCGAUACUGACGCUGAGGUGCGAAAGCGUGGGGAGCAAACAGG
rnacentral:rRNA from 1 species